rnacentral:misc_RNA from 1 species
AAAGAUCAUUGGGUUUUUAUAAUGUGGGUAAC